AUUGAACGCUGGCGGCAUGCCUUACACAUGCGAGUCGAACGGCAGCACGGGUGCUUGCACCUGGUGGCGAGUGGCGCACGGGUGAGUAAUACAUCGGAACAUGUCCUGUAGUGGGGGAUAGCCCGGCGAAAGCCGGAUUACUACCGCAUACGAUCUACGGAUGAAAGCGGGGGACCUUCGGGCCUCGCGCUAUAGGGUUGGCCGAUGGCUGAUUAGCUAGUUGGUGGGGUAAAGGCCUACCAAGGCGACGAUCAGUAGCUGGUCUGAGAGGACGACCAGCCACACUGGGACUGAGACACGGCCCAGACUCCUACGGGAGGCAGCAGUGGGGAAUUUUGGACAAUGGGCGAAAGCCUGAUCCAGCAAUGCCGCGUGUGUGAAGAAGGCCUUCGGGUUGUAAAGCACUUUUGUCCGGAAAGAAAUCCUUUGCCCUAAUACGGUCGGGGGAUGACGGUACCGGAAGAAUAAGCACCGGCUAACUACGUG
rnacentral:rRNA from 1 species